rnacentral:lncRNA from 1 species
GCGUUGGGUCCGCGUCUCCUAUUGGUCCAUUUACAAACGACAUUCGAACGGACUACCCGCGUUCCUCGCUUUCGGGCAUCAGGUUCCAACAACUUGUGUUGACGGGUCGCCGCGUGUGAUAUUAUAAGGAUACAACGAACAAAAACGGGUUUUUAACAUCAUGCCUCCUAAAAGGGCACCUUGGUGCGAGGAGGAUUUAAUAUCAGCAGUUCGAUCUGUUCAACGCGGUACUCUGAGUACAUAUGGGGCUGCGGCAAGGUUUAAUAUUCCCAGAAGAACCAUUAGAAAUCAUGUUCAGAAUGGAAUCCUAAUAAAAAGACUAGGCCGUAAAUCUAUUUUAAAAGAAGAACAAGAAGCUGAUCUCGUUAAAAGAAUAAUAAGAUUUAGUGAAAUAGGUCUACCUGUGACUCCACGGAUCCUUCGUCGAUCGGUAUUCAGAUUCCGCGAAGAUAAUAAAAUUGCUCAUCAAUUUAAUACAACUUCAAAACUUGCCGGCAAAGACUGGCUAAAGGCUUUUAUGUAGAGAAAUCCUGUAAUUUCUAAAAGAAAAGCACAGUUUAUGAAUCCAGCUAGGGCUCAAAAACUUAAUAAGUCUUCAAUCAUAUAUCAUUUUUCAAAAAUAGGGAAAAUGUUUGAUGAUCUUGAUAUAAUUAAUCAUCCUGAAAGACUUUAUCAUAUGGAUGAAAAAGGAUGCCGCUAGACUAUUCACCACCAGCCAACCAUUUUAGCUAUGAAAGGGGUAAAACGUGUUCACUUUCAAUCGUCAGAACAUGCAGAGAGUGUGACAAUUGCAGGAUGUGUCAAUGCCCUUGGAAUACCAAUACCUCCUAUGAUUAUUUUUAAAGGAAAGAGGCUAAAGCCAGAAUUACAUGAUAAUUUGCCACCAGGAACUCUAGUGGAAAAAUCAAGUAAAGGCUACAUGACUAACGAUUUUUUUAAAGAAUUCCUCAAGCACUUAGCCAGAUACAAAAGUCCAGGAAGGUGCCUCUUAGUUUUUGAUGGUGCAGCUUGUCAUCUUGAUUUGUCAAUUGUUGAUGUUGGAGACUCACUUGAUAUAGAUCUCUACUGUUUGCCAUCGAAUACAACACAUGAGCUUCAACCCCUCGACAAAUCUGUAUAUCGUUCAUUUGAGCAUCAUUCGCAUAAUGAGGUAUUAUUAUUCUUGGAUCAGAAUCCUAACAAAAAGCUGACCAAAUCACGUUUUAACAUCAUACUUUCAAAUGUUUGGUCUAAAUGCAUGACACAUAGAUGAUACCAACAAAGAAAAUAGGCGUCCACCUGAAUCUCCUCAACCUGGUCCGUCUGGAAUGGCAACCAACAAGUCUGGCAAAUUUUCCUAUUCCAAUGUUUACUCUUCUGACUCGGAUUCGACUGAUGACCAUAUCCCUCUUGCUGAAUUAAAGAGACGAACAACAAAAGUCACUUCUUUUAAUGAGCUUUUGCCCACACCAGUAAAAACUAAUGAAAAACCUAAAAAAAAUCGAAAAAAAGCUCAAAACUACAAAGGAACUCCAGUCACUAGAGAUCUUUUUAUCGAGGAGAACAAAAGUCGUGCCAAAUUGAAUAAAGAUAUUGAAAGCUGCAGGGAAAAGUUAAGUACCGAAUCGUAUUGCCAUGGAUGUGAGGAAGACAGGCAGGCCGAUAUGAGGCAGUGCAGCAAAUGUCAUGUUAAAUGGUACCAUGAGGAAUGUGUUGGCUUAACAGUCAAUGACAUGGAUGAUUUUGAGUGUCCCGAUGGCUGCUAAACUUCGCCCAAUUAACGAGUUGUGCCAUUUUUAUGUAUAGGAUUUAUUAAACCUCCAUCGGAUAAUAAGGCCGAUUUGCGUUAUUUUUCUUAAUAUUUAUUUUUUGUUUUCUAGUUUUUUUAGAGAUUAUUUUUUUAAGUUUGUUAAAAUUAAUAUAACCUUAUAAGCACUUUGGUGUAUUAAACUAAAUAUUAA